ensembl:ncRNA Y71H9A.6 ncRNA
CGUAUCCUCCCUCCCCAACAACAAUGAAAUACACACAUACAUAUACGUCCACAUAAAACUCGGCGAACGGAAACAAUGCGUAAAUCUAAUUAUGUCCUCUUGACGUGUGAAAGAGUGCUUCGAGAGUUGUCUAAGUUGAAACAAAAAUGAAGAAGAAACAAGUAAGAAGGAAUACUAUAACUGUUUUUCGUUGUUCAAAAGUGUCGCACUCUACAUUUUGCUUUUCGAUGGGAAAUACAUUUCCGAAGCGCAACGUGAAAUUUGAUAGUCGCCCGGUGGUAGGGAGAGGAGAGAGCGGUGACACAAUUCUGAAAUUGAAAUGCUCUCCG